GACGAACGCUGGCGGCGUGCUUAACACAUGCAAGUCGAACGGUAAGGCCCUUCGGGGUACACGAGUGGCGAACGGGUGAGCAACACGUGGGUGAUCUGCCCUGCACUUCGGGAUAAGCCUGGGAAACUGGGUCUAAUACCGGAUAGGACUCCGGACUGCAUGGUCUGGGGUGGAAAGCUUUUGCGGUGUGGGAUGGGCCCGCGGCCUAUUAGCUGGUUGGUGGGGUGAUGGCCUACCAAGGCGACGACGGGUAGCCGGCCUGCGAGGGUGACCGGCCAGACUGGGACGGAGAUACGGCCCAGACUCCUACGGGAGGCAGCAGUGGGGAAUAUUGCACAAUGGGCGCAAGCCUGAUGCAGCGACGCCGCGUGAGGGAUGACGGCCUUCGGGUUGUAAACCUCUUUCAGCAUCGACGAAGCGAAAGUGGCGGUAGGUGCAGAAGAAGGACCGGCCAACUACGUGCCAGCCGCCGCCGUAA
rnacentral:rRNA from 1 species